rnacentral:rRNA from 1 species
UACGGGGGGAGCAAGCGUUGUUCGGAUUUACUGGGCGUAAAGGGCGCGUAGGCGGCCACCGCAAGUCGACUGUGAAAUCUCCGGGACUUAACCCGGAAAGGUCAGCCGAUACUGCGGGGCUAGAGUGCAGAAGGGGCAACUGGGAAUUCUCGGUGUAGCGGUGAAAUGCGUAGAUAUCGAGAGGAACACCUGCGGCGAAGGCGGGUUGCUGGGCUGACACUGACGCUGAGGCGCGAAAGCUAGGGGAGCGAACGGG